AUGGCCUGGGGGAGAAUUCCAGAGGAAAUCAACAGGUACCUUCUAUAGUAGAACAGUGCUAAUGAGAACAUCAGUCAUGGACCUUGCACCCAUCCGCCAAGCUCAGACUACAGGGAGAGUUUUUGGCCUUUUGCUGGAAAUACUGCUAUGUAUCACAGAAGAACCUGAGGUACAGAGACCUGGUUAUAUUCCUGACACAUUCCUGGGUUAUAUGACACUGCACUGCAAUUCAAGAUCUGCCUGUUUGGAGAAAUUAAUUUGCGUGUAUUUGCUGUUUACCUUGGUGGGGGAUGCUUGAUCUGCAUGGUCAUGUGCAGAGUGCAAGGUGUACUAAGAAAUAAUGAAAAUGGUAGUAAAAACAUCGAUGCACAGGGUUCUGAUUUAAAGGAGAUCUUAGGAAAGUACAGAGCAUCUCCACUGAUUGGGACAAGCUUCUGUAAGUGUUCACAGCAUGUGAAAGGCACAGGUUUCUGAAUUUACUUUGGAGAUCCAACUGGUCCUUUGCAGGCCCAAAUCCCCUACUUCAUGCAGCCCAGACUGCUGUCUCCCUUUUGAAUGGUAAGCAUGAGCUGCAAACCUCGUAAACUGGCACCAAAUAUCCAACCUUGCGAUGUGAUGAUGUGAUCACUGUGGAAUAACUGAGCUUUGCUAGCUUGAAGUAGUUGCUAUUAAAAAGAAUACAAGCUUCUGGUCUCUGCAAAAAUAAUUAGGAAAAAAAAAAAAGAACUAAAUGUCAACUGAUGUAAUACUGCCUUCCUUAGCCUACAAGUAGUCUGAAGCUGUCUCUUGGAAACGUGACUAACACUGAUCCAUCAGCCCUCUAGGUCAUUACCUUCAUGAAAUCUCAUAAUCUCCCAUACUAAUAAUUUUUAUUGCUUAUGUUUUGGCAGGCAGGCUGAGAAAGGACAAGAGAAGUGAAGCCUAUGGAAGAAGGAAACGUAGGAGAUAAAAAAGGAGAAAAAUUAAGAGUCACCAAAGACAAGAGUAAGUCAUCAUAUGAGCUUAAUUCCCUUGAGACA